rnacentral:rRNA from 1 species
AUAGCCAUGCAUGUCUCAGUGCAAGCCACAUUAAGGUGAAACCGCGAAUGGCUCAUUAAAUCAGUUAUGGUUCCUUAGAUCGUACCCACGUUACUUGGAUAACUGUGGUAAUUCUAGAGCUAAUACAUGCAAAUAGAGUCCCGACCAGAGAUGGAAGGGAUGCUUUUAUUAGAUCAAAACCAAUGGGCCGGCUCGUCCGGUCCGUUUGCCUUGGUGACUCUGAAUAACUUUGGGCCGAUCGCACGGUCUUUCGUACCGGCGACGCAUCUUUCAAAUGUCUGCCUUAUCAACUGUCGAUGGUAGGUUCUGCGCCUACCAUGGUUGUAACGGGUAACGGGGAAUCAGGGUUCGAUUCCGGAGAGGGAGCCUGAGAAACGGCUACCACAUCCAAGGAAGGCAGCAGGCGCGCAAAUUACCCACUCCCGGCACGGGGAGGUAGUGACGAAAAAUAACGAUACGGGACUCUUCCGAGGCCUCGUAAUCGGAAUGAGAACACUUUAAAUCCUUUAGCGAGGAUCUAUUGGAGGGCAAGUCUGGUGCCAGCCGCCGCGGUAAUUCCAGCUCCAAUAGCGUAUAUUAAAGUUGUUGCGGUUAAAAAGCUCGUAGUUGAAUUUGUGUCCUACGGUGUUGGUUCACCGCCCGUCGGUGUUAACUGGCAUGAUCGUGGGACGUCCUGCCGGUGGUGGCGAGCCGAAGGCGCGCGCCCGCCGCGGCUAACGUCGUGUGCGGUGCCGUGCGCUGUAGGCGGACCCCGAUAAAAUCCCUCCGCGGUGCUCUUCACUGAGUGUCGAGGUGGGCCGGCACGUUUACUUUGAACAAAUUAGAGUGCUUAAAGCAGGCAAGCCCGCCUGAAUAUUGUGUGCAUGGAAUAAUGGAAUAGGACCUCGGGUUCUAUUUUGUUGGGUUUUCGGAACCCGAGGUAAUGAUUAAUAGGGACUGGCGGGGGCAUUCGUAUUGCGACGUUAGAGGUGAAUUCUUGG